AUUGAACGCUGGCGGCAGGCCUAACACAUGCAAGUCGAACGAGUGGCGGACGGGUGGGUAAUGUCUGGGCACCUGCCUGAUGGAGGGGGAUAACUACUGGAAACGGUAGCUACUACCGCAUAACAUCAGAUGUGCCCAGAUGGGUUUAGCUAGUGGGUGGGGUAACGGCUCACCAAGGCGACGAGCCCUAGCUGGUCUGAGAGGAUGACCAGCCACACUGGAACUGAGGCACGGUCCAGACUCCUACGGGAGGCAGCAGUGGGGAAUAUUGGACAAGGGGCGCAAGCCUGAUGCAGCAAUGCGGCGUGUAUGAAGAAGGCCUUCGGGUUGUAAAGUACUUUCAGCGGGGAGGCGGUACCCGCAGAAGAAGCACCGGCUAACUCCGUGCCAGCAGCCGCGGUAAUUC
rnacentral:rRNA from 1 species